rnacentral:rRNA from 1 species
AUGAAGCUGGAUUCGCUAGUAAUCGCGCAUCAGCCACGGCGCGGUGAAUACGUUCCCGGGCCCUUGUACACACCGCCCGUCAAGCCAUGGAAGCCGGGAGUGCCUGAAGUGCGUGAGCGCAAGCAGCGCCCUAAGGUAAACCGGUGACUGGGCUAAGUCGUAACAAGGUAAC